rnacentral:rRNA from 1 species
UGGGGAAUAUUGGGCAAUGGAGGAAACUCUGACCCAGCAACGCCGCGUGAGUGAUGAAGGUCUUCGGAUUGUAAAACUCUUUAAGUGGGGACGAAGAAAGUGACUGUACCCACAGAAUAAGCCUCGGCUAACUACGUGCCAGCAGCCGCGGUAAUACGUAGGAGGCAAGCGUUAUCCGGAAUGACUGGGCGUAAAGGGUGCGUAGGUGGUCUGACAAGUUGGUAGCGUAAUCCCGGGGCUCAACUUCGGUGCUACUACCAAAACUGUUGGACUUGAGUGCAGGAGGGGCAUAUGGAAUUCCUAGUGUAGCGGUGGAAUGCGUAGAUAUUAGGAGGAACACCAGUGGCGAAGGCGAUAUGCUGGACUGUAACUGACACUGAGGCACGAAAGCGUGGGGAGCAAACA